CAAAAAAAUACUGGGUUAUUUUUUUACCCAAAUACUGGUUUAUGACAAUUUUACUACUUAUUGGGUUUUUUAUACCCACACUGGGUAAUUUGAUAGAAACGUGCUGGGUUAUAUGUUUACCCAAUUAUUGGUGUGUGGUCGUUUGACCAUAUACUGGGUUAUGCUAACCAUUGAUGAGUUAUUAUACCCAAUCACUGGGUUUAUCAUAACAUUUGAAAUCAGAGCCAGCCAACGGACUUUUUCCUGGAAGUCAACUGAACUGAGGAAACCUUCAACAACAAGGAAAGGUUAACCAGAGACCGCACUGGCGUCCGGAUCCUUUGUAAGCUGAUCACGUUAUGUCCGUCUGUGCUAAGACUGGAAGUGACUGAAAGACAACACAGAUGCAUUCUUUCAGCAAGGUGACCAAAAUCUGUUUCACUCUGCAGCACUUGUCCUGGAGGUUUUGUAGACAGAACUGGAAGUGACUGAAAGAAAACGGAGACUCAUUCUUUCAGCAAGGUGACCAAAAUCUGUUUCGCUCUGCAGCACUUGUCCUGGAGGCUUUGUAGACAGAGUGACUGAACGAAAACCUAAAUGAGAAAUAGGAACAACAUGUUUAGAAGAUGAAGUGUGGAAGCCUCGGCAGCUUCAGUAUGCUGUGUACCUCAUCUUGAACUCUUUCACAUGGUGAUUCCUACACAUAAUUGCACACUGUAUGUGUUUAGUUAUCCUAUCUUACAAAGACUUAUGCCAACACUGUAUCUGCCUUUCCUCAAUACAAUAUAAAAAGUGCUGCAUAGACCAUUUAGAGAAGCAAUGUCUCGUGACUUUUACUGUAUGUUUAUUUUUGAGCAAGUGUCAUUUGUUUUGUAAAAUAUCUUUGCAGAUUUUCUUUUCAUGCCUGGACACUUUUUUUUAUUUCAAAUAUUGCUUUGAAUUGAUGCAAAUUGAAGAACGUGAAUCCCUGGUAAUAAAGGAAGGUUGACCAGAAAAUCA